rnacentral:lncRNA from 1 species
GAGGAUUUUGUUUUUUUUUGUGAUUGUCUGAUGACAAGAACUGCUUCUACAAACACUGACGUGUUUGUUAUCCAAUAUUUUUUUUUAUAUUUUGGAUGAUGUGGUCCGUACUUUUGACAUGGUCGUGUCAAAUCAUGUUUAAAUUUAUCUUAUUUUGCCUAUGAUUAUGGUUUGUAUGUGUUUAUCAUAUUUGAUUAUGAUUUGUUGAUUAUGUAUUUGGUAUAACUAUCUGUUUGGUGGCUUUCCCAAAAAUCUUGGCCGAUCCUCAAAAGAUUCAAGGGGAGUUAUCAUAUUCAGGGGGAGAUGAUGUUAGCUGAUCUAUUAAAGAAC